GUGAUAAUGACCCAGGUUGCUAAAGUCGUCAGAUGGUGGUUGGGGCAGACGACAACACUUUUGUGUCCACUAUGUCUACUUCUGGACCUAAUGAUGUUGGCGGCGUCUUCCUUUACCGGUAGAGGCAAGGUGACUGCGCCAUUUGCAGUCCGACUUCUUCCUCUUCCGCCUCAAAUUCUGAUGCCUUCUGAUGGUUAUUGCACUGCAGUCGGCACCAGGAAGGGCCUUAAUUUGGGUCAAAGACCGCCAUGUGUCUUGAUGGACAGCCAAUCGGAUUCUCCGUGGGUCUACCACUUGACUUUUUUGUUCCAUAAUGCUCAGGAUCCUUCAAAAAUUGUACAAUGACUGUCUUACUGCGCCCAACCUCAGCCACAAUGGCACGCUGCGAGAGGCCUUGCUUACGCAGCUCGACAAUACGACCACGUUCAAAAAGAAAAAGCUUCUUAGCUUUAGCCAUCAGGAGGGCAUGACAGUGUGAAUGCCUGACAGAAAAUGAACAUUUUGAGCAGAUGUUGGCUUUUAUAGCUUGUGGUCUUAAACUUUUUGAUCAGGUGAUAAACAACUUAUUUCAUUUUUUUUGUUUGUUUGUUUGUUUAAAUUACAAGUUCCAAAUGUUUUUUGUCCCACUCCUCCUUCUUGCUUUUGUAUAUUGUAGCUCUACUUAAAACCUCAUUAAGAUCCAAAUGUGCAAAAUGCAAAUUCUAGCAAUUUUUCAACUGGUCUUAAGAUUUUGAUCAGGAGUGUAUUUGACCCCAAGGAGAUGCAACUUUUUCCCAUUCAAAGCAUGCAACAAAAGUUAUCUUAUCUCUUCCUUUUAUGUUUUCUGCA